GACGAACGCUGGCGGCGUGCUUAACACAUGCAAGUCGAACGGAAAGGCCCUGCUUUUGUGGGGUGCUCGAGUGGCGAACGGGUGAGUAACACGUGAGUAACCUGCCCUUGACUUUGGGAUAACUUCAGGAAACUGGGGCUAAUACCGGAUAGGAGCUCCUGCUGCAUGGUGUGGGUUGGAAAGUUUCGGCGGUUGGGGAUGGACUCGCGGCUUAUCAGCUUGUUGGUGGGGUAGUGGCUUACCAAGGCUUUGACGGGUAGCCGGCCUGAGCGGGUGACCGGCCACAUUGCGACUGAGAUACGGCCCAGAAGCCUACGGGAGGCAGCAGUGGGGAAUAUUGCACAAUGGGCGGAAGCCUGAUGCAGCAACGCCGCGUGCGGGAUGACGGCCUUCGGGUUGUAAACCGCUGUCGCCGGUGACGAAGCGUGAGUGACGGUAAUGGGUAAAGAAGCACCGGCUAACUACGUG
rnacentral:rRNA from 1 species